rnacentral:rRNA from 1 species
ACCCGACUGCUAUCGGAUUGAGAUUAGCCAUGCGAGUCGAACGCCCCCUGUGCGGGGGCGUGGCGUACGGCUCAGUAACACGUAGUCAACUGCCCGGGAGACAAGGACAACCCCGGGAAACUGGGAUUAAUCCUCGAUAGGUCAUCUCAUCUGGAAGGAGAGAUGGCUUAAAGGGGUACGAGGGCUUCUUCCACGUAUUCGCUCCAGGAUGGGACUGCGACCGAUCAGGCUGUGGGCGGGGUAAUGGCCCACCAAACCUGUAACCGGUACGGGCCUUGAGAGAGGUGGCCCGGAGAUGGACACUGAGAGAAGGGUCCAGGUCCUACGGGGCGCAGCAGGCGCGAAACCUUCGCAAUGCGCGAAAGCGUGACGAGGUUAAUCCGAGUGACUCCCGCUGAGGGGGUCUUUUGUCAGCUGUAAAUAGGCAGGCGAAUAAGGGGAGGGCAAGCCUGGUGUCAGCCGCCGCGGUAAUACCAGCUCCUCGAGUGGUCGGGGCGAUUAUUGGGCCUAAAGCAUCCGUAGCCGGUUCCGUAGGUCCUCUGUUAAAUCCAACUGCUUAACAGUUGACCUGCAGAGGAUACCGCGGGACUAGGAGGCGGGAGAGGCGGACGGUACUCCGCGUGUAGGGGUAAAAUCCUUUGAUCCGCGGAAGACCACCAGUGGCGAAGGCGGUCCGCCAGAACGCGCUCGACGGUGAGGGAUGAAAGCUGGGGGAGCGAACCGGAUUAGAUACCCGGGUAGUCCCAGCCGUAAACGAUGCUAGCUAGAUGAUUCAUUCGCAAGUCGCGAAUGAAGUGUCGCAGGGAAGCCGUUAAGCUAGCCGCCUGGGGAGUACGGUCGCAAGACUGAAACUUAA